rnacentral:lncRNA from 1 species
AGUGAUUUAAUUCAAGUUCCUUUUGUUCUCAGGAUCAUGCUCUCUUUAUGAACCAUUUGGCAUAGUCAUCACUUAAACUUGUUGAUCUUCUUUUAUCAUUGUAAAAGUUUAAAAUGGUCAUGCUUACUAGUAUCCUACUGCUUUGUAGCACUCUUAACCAUUGAUUUUCACUAGCAAAGUUCAAAGCAUGCUUUGUUUGGAGAUCUACUUCACUUGGCAUUCUCUAGUCAGCUCACUGUUCACAAUCUUGCUCUUGUCAAAUUCCUUUGCUCGAGGACAAGCAAAGAUUUAAGUGUGGGGGAACUUGAUAGUGCAUUUCCUCAUAUAAUCUUUUUAGCCUUUUUGCACUACAUUAUAAUCAUAUUUUCACAUUAUUUACUUCAGAAAUAUUCAAAUACCACCAUUAUGCUACAUUUACAACAUCCUCCAUGUUUUGCAGAAAAGGGCGAAAAGGCCCAAAAUACUUCUAUAAUGGAGAGUGUCAAGAAACUGUGGUUGCUGUAACUUACGGAGGGACCCGGCCGUGAAGAAAAUAAGUAACCAGAGGGGUAAAGCUAAAGUUGGAGGGAUCAUCUUGUGAAGAGAGAAGAGAAGUGGAAGGGCAAAAGAACAAAACUGGUAGAUCAGAGGACGGGAUCAAAUCCCUAGCGGCAACCAUCGAUCCCCUUUGGGCUUGGCAUCUCCAUCUCUCUCCCCCGACUCCCUCUCCACCUCCGGCCACCGCUACGGCCAGGACGGCGUGGCGGCGCGCCCCCGCGCCAACAGCACCCCCCACGACUAGCUGCUGCUGCACCACUUCAUUAUCACCAUCCAUCCAUCCAUCAUCCAGCACCACCGCUGCACCAUCCACCAUCAGCGCCGCCACUUGAACCCUGAACCACCAGCAACCCACGCCGGCGCCAUCGACCACUUCCACUUUUCCCUCUCUCUCUUGCUGCUCCUCCCUCUUGCUUCGCCCCCGCUGCUUCUCUUCUUCCCCACGCCUCUACUGCUGCAUCUCCCUUGCCACGUCCCUGGCCCUUCUUGUCUUCCUACUGCUGCUUCUUCCUUCUCCAACCUCCUGCUGCUGCCUCCUUCUUCUCUUGCUCUGCUGCUCCUCCUAAUCUUCUCUGAACCAGAAAACUGCUACUGCUCUCAACCUCCAACUUGCUGCUGCUGCUCCUCUCACGCCCCUGCUGCUACUUAUCUCUUCCACCUGCUGUUGCUCCUCCCUCACGCCCCAUCUCUAGCUGGUUGCUGCUUCUCUUGACCUUCCCUUACCCCAACCCGCUGCUACUACUUCUCCCUCAACCUCCUGCUAUUUCCUUCUCUGAACCUGCUGCUGAUUCCCAACCUCCUGCUCCUCCUCUCUUGUUGCGCUCCUUCUACGUCUUCACCCUCAACCUCCUGGUGCUUCCAUCUCCCUCUCUCUAAAUUUCUGUAGACUUGAGAUCGAAUGUAAUAUUCAUAUUUGACUAGUGCUUGCAACUUUCUAUUGGUUCAUACUCGUAACUGUAUAAUAAUGCUAUGACAUGUUCAGUUUCAGACUUGUGCUUGUUUAGUACUAUAGUACUGAUUUUGUUCAUCGGCGAGUAUUAGAACAGUGCCCUGUAAUACCACAUUCGUAUUUUUGUAUGUGUGUGUUCAUCUAAUUUGUUCCAUUUUAUAGUCCAUGUGUUAGCUCUAGUACCAGUGUUAUAUAAAUAUACAUAUAUGUGGGUGUUAUGUUCAUGUCCUUUAACUUCUCUUGUCAUUGAUAAUAGCUUGUGUUAGUAUCUUCAUUUCUCAAGCAUUACGAAAAUACCGAAAAGAUUGUUGAAGAUAAUCUGAACCUCCCUUUGCUUCUUUGUCAUUUCCUUUGUUGAUGAUCCUUGUUAGAGUUAGGUUUAUUUCCUGUCUUCAUCACGCAAUAUCAUGUUACCUAGCUUUAGCCAAGCAUAGUCGCCGUCGCCUAGUCCCUGUGGAGAACACGACAGUCGCAGUUUGGGCAUGAAAACCCAUUGUACAUACAUUUGAUCAUUUUGGCGCCGUUGCCGGGGACUAGCGUCAUGCGAUUGUGUUAGGCUAUAGACUAGGUUUUUCUUCUUUUUCUAGUUUGUCCCAUAUAUUUGUGAUAUAUCUCUAACCACUAACCCCUGUUCUAGCUAGUAUCCUUUUGUUUUCUUUUCCUUCUAUGGGUUAGUGCUAUCUACUCGGUUAUGGCAUAUUAUUCAGAUUGUCUUGGAGAUGCGAGGAACACUACAAACUGCACGGAAACUAUUCAAGAACUGAUAAGUAAGAUUUCCCAUCGAUUAGAUGAUUUAGUUCGGCAGCGAGAAGUAGUUUUUGAGGAUAGUCCUAGCUCUUAUGAUCCUUAUUCUAGAGGUCAUCCUUAUGUUGCUCCUACAUGCCAUAUUUGUGGAUUUUAGGGCCAUUCACCCGCUGAAUGUCAGCGUGGUUACUCUCACUCUCCCGAUUGUUAUGGCAUGAGCUUCGCCCCACAGCCUAGCUCAUACCAAAACAAUUACUCAUAUGGGUGGCCUGAGAACCAGAAUAUGUCAUAUGGGAGCAACAACCUUGAGAUCUCACCGUUUGCUUCUAGUAAUCAUAUGCAGGGAUUUAGGUAUGAAGAGGAGAGCAACAACUAUGCACCACAACAAUUUUAUUCACCUCCUACUCAUAUACCUCAACACCAGGAGAUGUGUCCAAUGGAGUUAAAUGGUCCUCCACUUGGUCAACCAAUAACUCCAGCACCUGUUGAGCAAUCUCAUGCACAAGUGCCCACACAAGAUGACUUUGAUGAUAUAGACAAGCUCACAUUGCUUAGUCUCGAGUUCACUUGGAGUGCUGAAGAUGAUCCAAUUAGGCCGGUGAUACUAGAGGAAAUGAAGAAGAUCAAGAGUGGAAAAGAGCUAGUGGAAGAAGUAAGGAAGAUUGAGAAGAACAUCAACGCUGGAAGUACUAUCUCUUCCCUCCUUGAGUUGAGUGUUGCUGGGAUAUCCCUUGAGGUGUGUGAGGUUCCAACACCUUCACAUUCAGCUGAGCAAGAUAGCGAAAGUCCAGAGGAAGAGAUACUUCAGAUCCAAGAAGAAAUUCUCAAAGCCAAGGCACAAGAUGAUCCAGAGCUCGAAUAACCAAAUGAACAAGUUGAAGAUCCAAUGUUUACCACUCCCGAAGAAGGAGAAAAGCUGUUGUAGUUGAAUAUGAAGAACCAGAAAUUCAUUUGCCUAUUGUCAUACAAGAGCGUGAUGUAGCAGGUUUAUCUAAUCCUCUUGAUGACAUGCGUCCAUAUGAUCUAUUUGCCACUAUUUUGCAUUGCAUGAUACCAUCAAUUAAGCUAGACUUGAAAAAAAUGUUUGCUUGAACAUGAUCAUACAUACUCUGUUAUUGGCAUUUCUCUCAUUUAUGACGAUGACACUUAUUUUCCUCAUGCUAGACCUAUGCUUAAUGAUAAAUAUCAUCCUCAUGUUAGUAUUGCGCUUGCUGAUUUUAUCAUACUCAUCAUGUUCUAUAUUCCUAUGCUUAUACAAUUGGAUAUUCGAUUGACGACUUAGAGGGCAUCUACCCUAUCACUUGUAGUCGUUGUUUGUGUGAGUCCUAUUUCAGGUUUCUGCUUGUGCACGAAUCAAUACAUGCUGACCAGGUUCGAGGUGACAUCCCUUGGGAUCCCGGUGGAGUCAGAGCAUGGCGAUGAGGAGAAUCAAGGGGCACACAGGAAGAAGAGUGAAGCUGGAGCAUGCACGAGGAAGCAAAGGAGAAGAGCUGCAGCUUAGAGAGUGAUCAAGCGAGUGCUACAUGAUCAAAGCAUGAUGAGUUGUUUCAUGACCCCAAUCUGAAUAUAUCAUCCAUUGAUAAUGUUGAAAUCAUUUGAUAUUUGAGUUGCUUAGGCCAUUUCUUAAAUGAUAUCCCACUGAUUUUUUUGACAUAUUGUGCUUGAUGUGAACAUGAGAACUGAUUGUUGAAUGCCUUGUAAACUAGUGAUUUAUACAAUGAUUGCUUUGCUGAAAUUAGUGAGAACUAUUAUUUUGAGUGCUCAAAUCCCUAGUGCACUAGUAAACUUUAUCACUUUUUGCAUUUACGUUGAUACACCUAGAUCACUAUGUUCGGAUGAUGUAUUUGUGCCAAGUGUGUUCCCAUUGAGAGCAAUCACUCACCACUAUGGACUAGCAUGCUAUGUUCCCUGGAUCGGUAGUAUGUGAACCAGACCUGGAUGAGUGAUGAUUCUUGUUCGCUUUUUGUAUUCAUUUGUUAAAUUAGUAAUAAUGAAUAAAUAAUUAUCCGAUCUUACCUAACAGUAGCAUGUCAUGUUCCCUGGAUCGGUGGCUUGUGAAAUCUGGUUGGAUCGGAUAGGAGUUAAUUAUAUUAAAAAAUGCUAUAAUUGUCGAACCAGGUGUAUACCAUGUUCUUGGGAUCGGUGGUAUGUUCCUUUGGGGAGACAAACAAAAAAAGUUAUAAUUGGUCGAGCCAGGUGUAUACCAUGUUCUCGGGAUCAGUGGUAUGUUCCUUCGGUGCGACUGAUAAAAUAUUAUCAUUAAUUCCUUCAAAUUUAAUAAGUGGUUCAACCACAAUGUUAUAUUUCUGCAAAUAAGUGAUUUAAUUCAAGUUCCUUUUGUUCUCAGGAUCAUGCUCUCUUUAUGAACCAUUUGCACAGUCAUCACUUAAACUUGUUGAUCUUCUUUUAUCAUUGUAAAAGUUUAAAAUGGUCAUGCUUACUAGUAUCCUACUACUUUGUAGCACUCUUAACCAUCGAUUUUGACUACCAAAGUUCAAAGCAUGCUUUGUUUGGAGAUCUACUUCACUUGGCAUUCUCUAGUCAGCUCACUGUUCACAAUCUUGCUCUUGUCAUAUUCCUUUGCUCGAGGACAAGCAAAGAUUUAAGUGUGGGGGAACUUGAUAGUGCAUUUCCUCAUAUAAUCUUUUUAGCCUUUUUGCACUACAUUGUAAUCAUAUUUUCACAUUAUUUACUUCAGAAAUAUUCAAAUACCACCAUUAUGCUACAUUUACAACACUCCUCCAUGUUUUGCAGAAAAGGGCGAAAAGGCCCAAAAUCCUUCUAUAAUGGAGAGUGUCAAGAAACUGUGGUUGCUGUAACUUACGGAGGGACCCGGCCGUGAAGAAAAGAAGUAACCAGAGGGGUAAAGCUAAAGUUGGAGGGAUCAUCUUGUGAAGAGAGAAGAGAAGUGGAAGGGCAAAAGAAUAAAACUGGCAGAUCAGAGGACGGGAUCAAAUCCCUAGCGGCAACCAUCGAUCUCCUUUGGGCUUGGCAUCUCCAUCUCUCUCCCCCGACUCCCUCUCCACCUCCGGCCACCGCUACGGCCAGGACGGCGUGGUGGCGCACCCCCGCGCCAACAGCACCCCCCACCACUAGCUGCUGCUGCUGCACCACUUCAUCAUCACCAUCCAUCCAUCCAUCACCCAGCACCACCGCUGCACCAUCCACCAUCAACGCCGCCACCUGAACCCUGAACCACCAGCAACCCACGCCGGCGCCAUCGACCACUUCCACUUUUCCCUCUCUCUCUUGCUGCUCCUCCCUCUUGAUUCGCCCCCGCUGCUUCUCUUCUUCCCCACACCUCUACUGCUGCAUCUCCCUUGCCACGUCCCUGGCCCUUCUUGUCUUCCUACUGCUGCUUCUUCCUUCUCCAACCUCCUACUGCUGCCUCCUUCUUCUCUUGCUCUGCUGCUCCUCCUAAUCUUCUCUGAACC